rnacentral:rRNA from 1 species
GGGUUGUGAGGUUAAGCGACUAAGCGUACACGGUGGAUGCCCUGGCAGUCAGAGGCGAUGAAGGGCGUGCUAAUCUGCGAUAAGCGCCGGUAAGGUGAUAUGAACCGUUAUAACCGGCGAUACCCGAAUGGGGAAACCCAGUGUGAUUCGUCACACUAUCAUUAACUGAAUCCAUAGGUUAAUGAGGCGAACCGGGGGAACUGAAACAUCUAAGUACCCCGAGGAAAAGAAAUCAACCGAGAUUCCCCCAGUAGCGGCGAGCGAACGGGGAGGAGCCCAGAGCCUGAAUCAGCAUGUGUGUUAGUGGAAGCGUCUGGAAAGGCGCGCGAUACAGGGUGACAGCCCCGUACACAAAAGCGCAUGUGCUGUGAGCUCGAUGAGUAGGGCGGGACACGUGGUAUCCUGUCUGAAUAUGGGGGGACCAUCCUCCAAGGCUAAAUACUCCUGACUGACCGAUAGUGAACCAGUACCGUGAGGGAAAGGCGAAAAGAACCCCGGCGAGGGGAGUGAAAAAGAACCUGAAACCGUGUACGUACAAGCAGUGGGAGCACCCUUUGGGUGUGACUGCGUACCUUUUGUAUAAUGGGUCAGCGACUUAUAUUCUGUAGCAAGGUUAACCGAAUAGGGGAGCCGGAGGGAAACCGAGUCUUAACCGGGCGUUAAGUUGCAGGGUAUAGACCCGAAACCCGGUGAUCUAGCCAUGGGCAGGUUGAAGGUUGGGUAACACUAACUGGAGGACCGAACCGACUAAUGUUGAAAAAUUAGCGGAUGACCUGUGGCUGGGGGUGAAAGGCCAAUCAAACCGGGAGAUAGCUGGUUCUCCCCGAAAGCUAUUUAGGUAGCGCCUCGUGAAUUCAUCUCCGGGGGUAGAGCACUGUUUCGGCUAGGGGGCCAUCCCGGCUUACCAACCCGAUGCAAACUGCGAAUACCGGAGAAUGUUAUCACGGGAGACACACGGCGGGUGCUAACGUCCGUCGUGAAGAGGGAAACAACCCAGACCGCCAGCUAAGGUCCCAAAGUCAUGGUUAAGUGGGAAACGAUGUGGGAAGGCCCAGACAGCCAGGAUGUUGGCUUAGAAGCAGCCAUCAUUUAAAGAAAGCGUAAUAGCUCACUGGUCGAGUCGGCCUGCGCGGAAGAUGUAACGGGGCUAAACCAUGCACCGAAGCUGCGGCAGCGACACUGUGUGUUGUUGGGUAGGGGAGCGUUCUGUAAGCCUGUGAAGGUGUGUCGUGAGGCAUGCUGGAGGUAUCAGAAGUGCGAAUGCUGACAUAAGUAACGAUAAAGCGGGUGAAAAGCCCGCUCGCCGGAAGACCAAGGGUUCCUGUCCAACGUUAAUCGGGGCAGGGUGAGUCGACCCCUAAGGCGAGGCCGAAAGGCGUAGUCGAUGGGAAACGGGUUAAUAUUCCCGUACUUGGUGUUACUGCGAAGGGGGGACGGAGAAGGCUAUGUUGGCCGGGCGACGGUUGUCCCGGUUUAAGCGUGUAGGUGUGUGUUCCAGGUAAAUCCGGUUCACUUUAACACUGAGGCGUGACGACGAGGCACUACGGUGCUGAAGCAACAAAUGCCCUGCUUCCAGGAAAAGCCUCUAAGCAUCAGGUAACAUCAAAUCGUACCCCAAACCGACACAGGUGGUCAGGUAGAGAAUACCAAGGCGCUUGAGAGAACUCGGGUGAAGGAACUAGGCAAAAUGGUGCCGUAACUUCGGGAGAAGGCACGCUGACACGUAGGUGAAGUGAUUUACUCAUGGAGCUGAAGUCAGUCGAAGAUACCAGCUGGCUGCAACUGUUUAUUAAAAACACAGCACUGUGCAAACACGAAAGUGGACGUAUACGGUGUGACGCCUGCCCGGUGCCGGAAGGUUAAUUGAUGGGGUCAGCGCAAGCGAAGCUCCUGAUCGAAGCCCCGGUAAACGGCGGCCGUAACUAUAACGGUCCUAAGGUAGCGAAAUUCCUUGUCGGGUAAGUUCCGACCUGCACGAAUGGCGUAAUGAUGGCCAGGCUGUCUCCACCCGAGACUCAGUGAAAUUGAACUCGCUGUGAAGAUGCAGUGUACCCGCGGCAAGACGGAAAGACCCCGUGAACCUUUACUAUAGCUUGACACUGAACAUUGAGCCUUGAUGUGUAGGAUAGGUGGGAGGCUUUGAAGUGUGGACGCCAGUCUGCAUGGAGCCGACCUUGAAAUACCACCCUUUAAUGUUUGAUGUUCUAACGUGGACCCGUUACCCGGGUUGCGGACAGUGUCUGGUGGGUAGUUUGACUGGGGCGGUCUCCUCCUAAAGAGUAACGGAGGAGCACGAAGGUUGGCUAAUCCUGGUCGGACAUCAGGAGGUUAGUGCAAUGGCAUAAGCCAGCUUGACUGCGAGCGUGACGGCGCGAGCAGGUGCGAAAGCAGGUCAUAGUGAUCCGGUGGUUCUGAAUGGAAGGGCCAUCGCUCAACGGAUAAAAGGUACUCCGGGGAUAACAGGCUGAUACCGCCCAAGAGUUCAUAUCGACGGCGGUGUUUGGCACCUCGAUGUCGGCUCAUCACAUCCUGGGGCUGAAGUAGGUCCCAAGGGUAUGGCUGUUCGCCAUUUAAAGUGGUACGCGAGCUGGGUUUAGAACGUCGUGAGACAGUUCGGUCCCUAUCUGCCGUGGGCGCUGGAGAACUGAGGGGGGCUGCUCCUAGUACGAGAGGACCGGAGUGGACGCAUCACUGGUGUUCGGGUUGUCAUGCCAAUGGCACUGCCCGGUAGCUAAAUGCGGAAGAGAUAAGUGCUGAAAGCAUCUAAGCACGAAACUUGCCCCGAGAUGAGUUCUCCCUGAGACUUAAAGUCU